UACGAAGGGGGCUAGCGUUGUUCGGAGUUACUGGGCGUAAAGGGCGCGUAGGCGGCGCAUCAAGUCAGGCGUGAAAGCCCUGGGCUCAACCCUGGAAUUGCGCUUGAGACUGGUGUGCUCGAGUACGGGAGAGGAUAGUGGAAUUCCCAGUGUAGAGGUGAAAUUCGUAGAUAUUGGGGAGAACACCAGUGGCGAAGGCGGCUAUCUGGACCGUAACUGACGCUGAGGCGCGAAAGCGUGGGGAGCAAACAGG
rnacentral:rRNA from 1 species